rnacentral:misc_RNA from 1 species
GAUGAAGAACGCAGCGAAAUGCGAUAAUUAAUGUGAAUUGCAGAAUUUAGUGAAUCAUCGAAUCUUUGAACGCACAUUGCGCCCCUUGGUAUUCCGGGGGGCAUGCCUGUUCGAGCGUCAUUUCAACCCUCAAGCUCUGCUUGGUCUUGGGCCGCGCCGGCAACGGCGGGCCUCAAAAACAGUGGCGGCGCCAUCUGGUCCCUCAGCGUAGUAAUUCUUCUCGCUGCUGGGCCCCGGUGGACGCUUGCCAGCAACCCCAAACUUUCUAUGGUUGACCUCGGAUCAGGUAGGGAUACCCGCUGAACUUAAGCAUAUCAAUAAGCGGAGGA